CCGCCGUGCCCCCCCCAGCCCCCCCGUGCCCACAUCUCCACCGUCGAUGCCAACGAGAGCGAGGAGGUUCGGCAGUUCCGGCGCCUCUUCACCCAGCUGGCCGGGGAGGACAUGGAGGUGAGCCCCACCGAGCUCAUGAACAUCCUCAACAGGGUCGUCACCCGCCAUCCCGACCUGAAGACGGACGGCUUCGGGCUGGACACGUGCCGCAGCAUGGUGGCCGUCAUGGACGU